UGACAUAACUAAAGACUACAUUGCUCUAAUCUUACACUGAAUGCAAUUCAUUUGCUUCGGAAAAAGACGAUGACCCUAUAUUUGCGUCAAAAUGAACAUAUGUGAAAACAUUCUUAUUAAUGGAUUUGGCUUUUUCAGCUACACUCAUUACUAACAGGUGCAUGAAAUCAAGCAUACAAGCAAACAAUCCCAUUAGACAAACAUUUUAUUUAAGCAUUUUGGAAGACCUUGCCUGGCCAGCUCAAAGCCCACACUUGAAGUGAAUUCUACACCUUCAGGGUCAUGUUGCUGGAACUGAAGUAGUUGAAGAGCCAACAAGAAAGACUACUCUUGGUGACCAUGAUAUCCUACAACUUCCUCUGUGCAGCUUUGAUAGCACAGAGUAAUAAAACAGAACAUUUCCUUUUUCAUGUUUUUAUCAGUUACAGUAGCUUCCGUUGAGCUAACGCCUCCUCUCAUUUUCUGUCCCAUCCUUCUAACAGAGAUAAGUAGGUCAUUAGGGUAGUUGGGAUUUUCUUAUGCAAAGUUUUACCUCUCUGAAGACACCAAAUGACCUUUUUCUGUGACUUCAGAAAGAGUAAAACAUGAUUGCAUGAGAUAAGAUGCUAUGCUCAAAGGAUGAUGUGCAGCCCAAUCAAGUAAAACAUCCCUAAGAGAUAAAAUGUAUCGUUGAAGCUCAAAUUUACAUAAGUUCAUCUGUGCUUUCCUUUUGAGUCCAUUGCAGAGCUUGUACAGAUGAAUAGUCGCAGGAAACCGCAAGCCCAGAAGGGAUUUGGCAUAGCAUUUGGUGUGCAAACUACAGAGGGGGGACUCCAGAGUAUCCUUGUAAAAGAGUUAAAAUAAAGCUGAAAAAAAAUUGAAGGCUUAAGGGAUGUAUCAUAGAUUGACUA